UCUCCGUAGGUGAACCUGCGGAGGGAUCAUCAAAGAGUUGUCGCCCGCCCGGGUAGAUCUCCCACACACUGUGAUUGAUACCGUGUUAAAUUGGCGGGCCGCCGGGCCAUGCCCGGCCGCCAGGCGACCCCGCCGGCGCGCGCCCGCCAGAGGAUCCCCAAAACCCGAAUGUUAGUGGGGUCAGAGGAAAACACAAUAGUUAAAACUGUCAAAAAAGGAACUCUUGGGUCGGGCAUCGAUGAAGAAGGCAGAAGAUCGAAAGAGCAAACGUCAGAAAUC
rnacentral:misc_RNA from 1 species